GAGCGCAAGCAUCUGUUGAGCGCACGGCACCGGAGGACGCCGCGGCUCGGGAGCGGGGCUGAGCGCGGCUCCCUGGAAGCGGCACAUUGAUCACACGGCCGCGUGGCCAAUUAGCGGCAGGAGCCAGGGCCAGCCCUCGUGUCUGCGCGCUGCUGAUCUAUCGGCAGUAAUUACCGAGACACUUAAUGCCUAGUUUGGAUGGGAAUUAAUUCGAGGCCGGAUAAAUAAUGCAUUAGGGUUUAUUUAGUCCGGCGUGAAGCGUCGCCCCCGAGCCAGGGCUGGAGCGGCGAGCGGCGGCGAUGCGCGGGGCGGCGGCCGGGGCCGGGCGCUGAGGCUGCGGGCAGCGCCCAGCCGGGAGCAUGCUGAGCCCCAAGAUCAGGCAGGCCAGGAGAGCCCGGUCAAGGAGUUUGGUGAUGGGUGAACAGAUUGGGCCUCCCUCCAGACCAUCUUCUCCAAAUCCUCAAGAACGUGUGCUGAAGUGUGGCUGGCUAAAGAAACAAAGGAGCAUUAUGAAGAAUUGGCAGCAGCGGUGGUUUGUACUGCGUGGGGAUCAGCUCUUCUACUACAAGGAUGAAGAGGAAACUAAACCUCAGGGUUUGAUACUUCUGCAAGGCAGUCAGGUGAACGAGCUUCCACCUAAUCCGGAUGAACCAGGGAAACAUCUCUUUGAAAUUACCCCAGGUGGUGCAGGGGACCGGGAAAAGAUGCCUGUCAAUCAUGAGGCUUUCCUGCUCAUGGCUAAUUCCCAGAAUGAAAUGGAAGAUUGGGUGAAAGCCAUCCGACGGGUUAUAUGGGCUCCAUUUGGUGGAGGUAUUGCAAAUAGCUCAAAUGCACAUAAAUUAAAACAUUUGCCUCAAGGGAUCUUUGGACAGCGCUUGGAGGACACCGUACAGUACGAGCGGAAAUAUGGCCAGCGCUUGGCCCCACUGCUGGUGGAACAGUGUGUGGAUUUUAUUCGGGAGCGAGGUCUUACAGAGGAGGGGCUCUUUCGGAUGCCGGGACAAGCCAACCUUGUCAAAGAUCUGCAGGAUUCUUUUGAUUGUGGAGAGAAACCCCUUUUUGACAGCAACACAGAUGUUCACACUGUGGCGUCCCUCCUGAAGCUUUACCUUCGAGAGCUGCCAGAGCCUGUCAUCCCCUUUGCCAAAUAUGAAGACUUUCUUUCUUGUGGACAGCUACUCUCAAAAGAUGAGGGAGAGGGUACCCAGGAACUGGUUAAACAGGUGAAGAAUUUGCCCCAAGCUAACUACAACCUCCUCAAGUACAUAUGCAAGUUCCUUGAUGAAGUUCAGGCUCACUCCAGCAUUAACAAGAUGAGUGUCCAGAACCUGGCUACAGUAUUUGGACCAAACAUACUGCGGCCCAAAAUGGAGGAUCCGGUGACCAUGAUGGAAGGCACCUCGCUGGUUCAGCACCUGAUGACAGUGCUGAUAAGUGAACAGGGGCGGAUCUUUGCUGUUCCUCAGGGGGAUGUGCCAGGGAGCCAGCUGGAGAUCAGACCCGUGCGCCAGCGCAGCACUGUCGAGUGGAUCUCCGAGGAGGACGGGGAGGACAGCAGGUCACAGAACAGCGCUGCCAGCCCCGCUGAUUUGCCACCUGGCAAUGCUGUGGCUCUAGAGGCCACUCCAGGACCUGCAGUGAAAAUCACUCCUCCAGAGCACAGUGGCAAAUCGACUCAGCCUGCCACGAGCCCCAGUAAAAGAGUGCAGACACUGCCUCCGUGGAAAUAUUCCUUCCGCCAGCAGGGAGCACGCUCUGUGAGCCCAAAGCUGGGCAGCUCAUCCUUAGAUAUCCCCAACCUGUCCUCCAGUGGGAACUGGUUGAUGAACGGCCUGUACUCUCUCCGAGGCCACCGCCGGACAGCUUCUGGGGAACGAGUGAAAGACUCGUGUUCCUCCCAGAGACUCUCUACUUAUGACAAUGUCCCUUCAUCCAGCCUGUCCCUCAGCACACACAGCAUGGCCAGCACCACCUGGUCUACAUCAUCCUGUGAGAUCUCUGUGAUGGACUCGGUGAGCAGCUGCCCAGCCUGCCGGGCCAGUGACUCUUCUGCUUUAAGCUCCCUAAAAACCGAGUGGGUAACUCAGGGCUCGCUGUCUCAGAGCGAGGUCAAGACCGCAGAUCUGGAGAACAGCACGGACAGGUUUGAAGCCUGCAGCAGCAGCAGCAGUGAACAGAGUGACCCGGCUGCAGCUUCCCGAGACUCUGUCCAAUGCUCCAGGGCCUUACAGAGCUUGGUGGUGGAGCUAAAGACAGAACUGAGCAAACAGAGGACUGAGUAUGAGACUAGUAUCAAAAGAAUUGAAGAAACAAGUGCAGACCUGAGGAACCAAGUGGUUAGGUUAGAAGAAGAACUGGACCAAGAACGGAAGAAAUACACAAUGCUGGAGAUAAAGCUGAGGAAUUCUGAACGCGCUCGGGAAGAUGCCGAGAAGAGAAAUUACCUCCUGCAGAAGGAAAUGGAAGAAUUUUUUUCAACAUUAGGAUGUUUAACUGUUGGGAGUCAAAGUGCUAAAGUCCCCAAGUAGAACAAGUAUAGAAAAUCCUGUUCCUGAUAAAAUGAGUGAAAAUGCAUAUUUUGUUCUGGUAUACUCAUGUAUCAUGAGUAAUGCUAUAGUGAUUGUGCUCUCAGUGACACUUGCCCUGUUGUCUUUACAUGUGCUAUAGUAUUUGGGCCAGUUGGGAAAGACUGUGGACUACAAAGCUUGAAAAUUUAGUGUCAGAUUGCCAAGAAAGAGUGGGUCCCCUCUGUAUCCACAGAACUUAAGCUACUCUUCCUCCAGAGUGCCCUGCUGCCAUCUUUGGACUCAACUGCACCAUUCUUUUCCUGGCUCAAGAACAGUGGAAGGUCCUGCAGGGUGGGUGCAUGGCCAGAACCAAUAAACAAGCUGAGCCUGGAGCUGAGGGAUUCCCACACUUGUGCUUGGGAAGGCAGCAGUUCCAGUCUGUCACCACAGCUGGGAGGUUUGACAGACAGAUUUAAUGAGGUGGUUUUUGCCCCACUCCCUCCAUAAAGUUUGUUCAAAUUUCUCAUUCAGAGUGGUAUUAUUUUGUGAAGAUAUUAUGAAAACAAGGUCUGCAAACAUGCUGAGGAUAUCAAACUCUUGAAAAUUCACUAAAAUUGUCCCUUACCCACCAAAUGGUUUCACAAAAAUGCAGCUUUAAAUUAAACUUGAUUAAUAAUCAUAUUGAUUACACAAACUCUGUGGAACUUUAAAUAUGCACAUUUUGCCCUAGGUAUCAGGGUUUUCUGAGCCAAAAAUAGAGCAGUAUCAGCUGCAAGAAAAAAAAAAAAAUCUGAGUCAAUAGAUGUAUUAAGGUAGAAGAUGCAAGAUUCUUAUCAUCAAAACACAUCCAAACUUUAAUAGCAAAACUUACGUUCUUACAGGGAGAUGAGGGGACAGGAAGAAUACUGCAAACAACCCAUCAUCCCAAGUUCCUUACUUCUGCUAAGGAAAAAUCAUUAGAAUGAAGCUGUAAGUUCCGGUUAUUUGCUGACAGGGCUGACUUCCAUUCCAAGUGAUUUAAAGAAGUUCUGCAUAGCAUUUGUAACACCCUGAGCCAUGCAGAGCCUGCACAAAGAAAAUUGUUUCACCAGAUUCAGUUUGAAUUCCACAUGUGAGCCCAGCACUGUUCACUCUGUCUUGGCACUCUAUCUUUGACAUCCUGAGGUAGCUUGGGAGUUUCUAAGGAUAAAAGAAGUGCCACAACAACCUGAACUGGCUAAAGGGAAAGUACAGACUGUAACGAAGAAGACUGCUUUAUUUUAAGUAUUUUGAAAAACGCCCUGAAUCUCAUUUCUUACUCUAGAGAAGACUAUGACUCACUGUCUGGAAAUAACCUUAGAAUGGGUUUUUUACAUACCAGGAAAUAGUCAAUACUGAAAGAUAUACGUUCUCCUCAUCAUCUCACAGAUAUCCAGCUAUUUCAAUAUUUAAAACAUCUGGGUGUUAACUUGUUUCUACUGCACUGUAACACUUCUCCUUCCUAUAGAAAUGUAAAAAAUGUAAACAAAACCAAAAACAUUUAAAGCAAACAAAAAGCAAAAUUUUGACCUAAUCUUUCCUGGAUAAGGAAGGAAGCAAGCAAGAUGGUACAGUAAGCCAUGUGGAAAGGUUCAUUCAAUUAUUUCAAAACCUUUUUCCUACCUCCCAGGCUCUCCAGCUGCCCUGGAUUCAUUACUGCCCCUGGCAUGAGGCAGAUACCUGCAUGCUCUGCAGCAGCUGCCUGCUACCUGCAGGUAUGAGCAUCAUCCCCAUCUGUUUUUAACACCUCUGCCUUGGAUUCAUUACCAAUGGUCACAUGUGACCCUUUAAGGAAUAAGAUGGCCAUUUAAAACAGCAGCAUCAGAUGCAUAAUGUGAGAGAGAAGCAGUAACAGUGACUGAGCCGGAAGAGCAGAGUCUGGCAGGUAGCUGGAGGUACCAGGUCAGUCAUCACAAAAUAAACCUUAACUUGGAGGGUGGUCUGAACCAGGUUGUAAGUAGAACACCAGGACUGAUAAACAGCAACAUUCAAUCCAAGUACUAGUAGCAAGCAGGGUAUUUUAAUCCCUUCUUUUAUUUCUACCCAAAACACAGAAGCCUUUCUGUAUCCAUCCUGCCAGCCCACACCUCCCUUAUACCAUUUAUAUUGCAUUAUCUCCUGUAUGUAUCGAGUGCAGACUGCUCCCUUUAGUUCACACUACAAACUCAAGAACUGAGCCCUGCUGACAUCAAAUGACAAGACAAGACAUCAAAUACAGCAGAGACAAGCUUAACUCUCUUAAGUAUUUAACCUUAGGUAACUGCUAACAAACCCACCUAUCCCAAACUUGCAGAUCCAGGAUAGGAUCAUGAGCUCUACAGCACUACAUGAUCUGGUAUCCAAGAUAAAAUUAAUUCUUUUUGAUAUACAAAGAAACUCCAUCCACUCAAAAUGAGGCGUGAAAAAAACCAGUUCCAGACUGGCUCUUGCGCUCCAGCAACAUCUAUGGGUCUUGUUCAUGAGGAAUAAAUUUUGGCUGCUUUUGAAGAUGAGCCACUGCAGUAUAUAAACCUGGCAAGAAGCUGCAAACAUUGCAGUUCACACUAAAAUGCACCACAGUGGAUUUAGUUUAACUUCAAGUGCAGCAACAGGACCAUAACACUAGAUUCCUGAUAUGGGCAAUUAUGCAAGAAAUGAGAUCCACUUGUACAAAGCUUCAAAGAAGACUAUGCCCUUAUGAGGAAGAUGAUACACCCUUUCCUGCCUUUAAUUCCUGUUUCCAUACUCUUCCCCACCAAUACAUUUCCCCACAGCAAGCACUGGAGACCACUCCUUAUUUUGCAGAUGUUGCACUCAUUACCGUCCCUCAUCUAAAUGUCUGCUUUCUUAGCAAGUGUUUACACAAUACAGGUUUGGUUAUUAUUAAUUAAAUGUGACAGAAGGCUCCUGGAAUAGAUAAAUUAUUACCAGUUUCAUCUGUGCCAUCUUCCCAGCCUGGAAUAUCUCUUCCUGUAUUAUACAGGGAAAAAAAACAACCCAGUAAGAACUUUUCAGUGAAGAAAGAAAAACAACACAAGCAUAUGCUUUAAAAAAAAGCAAAACUGCAACACUUCAGAAUAACAAAGAAAACUUUGGUAGGCCAUGGCAUUUCUAACACAAAACCAGAAAUGAACAGGGAUAGCUUAAUGACUCAUCUAUGUUCACAAGGAAGUUCUACUGAAGCCAGCAGCAUUAUGGAGUGUUUCAGCCCCGAGCCACCAGACAAACUCUGGGCAGAGCUAUGACUUUCUCUGGCCUUGCUCUGCAAUAACAUAGCACUGGAAACUGGCUGCACUUUAUACUGACAUAUGCAAAUUAAGAAGAGCAUUUCUGAGUGCCACCACUCCUAGAAGAGCAUCUCAUAAACUGCUGGCCCAGAUAAAAAAAGCUGGCUACAGUGUGGUCACAGUUGCUUUCCCUUGAAACUGGACACAAAGGCACCACCAACACAGCUCAAGUGCAGCUCUAGUCAUUAAAGGAAGCACUGAAAUCCUGCUGGAAGUGAAGGCAAUCAAAUACAUUAUGUUGGGACUUACCUGUGGGAGAAGUGCCAGUGCAGUGAGUGGUCCAGGCAUCCAAGUCAGCUCUCCAGAAGUCAGAUCCUUCAGGCUUCUCCAAUAUGCAGUGUUGAGACUCUCCCAUACAGUAGGCAGCCCAUGGCUUACCUUUCAGCAGCACAGGCUCUCAUCAACUGUAGUUCCAGGAAUUCCUGGAAUAUAGUUCCAGCUAGAGCUGGCAGCAAGGAAGCAAGAAUGGAUUCCCACUUGAAGCAAAGACCCUGAACCUGUGGCUGUUAACAGUCUGUGGCACAUCCAAAGUCCAUGGGAAUGGAGAAAUGGAAAAAAACGUCACUUUGCCCACAAGUGAGCUCACACACAAGACAGGACACUACCAUUAGAAAACAGAAGAAUUCUCAGGAAGGAGUCUCACUGAUAAGAUUUCAAGUGCAGCCCUAUUACGCAAUCCAUAUGAAAUCCAUCGCAGCCUGGCAAUGAAGAAACACUAAAUGCAUGGUGGUCAAACAUUUUUUUUUCUUUUUUAUUUAAAAUAUCAUUAUAACCAACUGACAUACUAGAUAACAAUGUAUACAUUCCAGUGGUGCACAUGUAAUGACCUAUGGCAUGAAUGAGUUAAAAAAACCCCACAAUGUUCUCAGUAAUGCCCACCAACAGCUUAUUUGGAGGGAAUAAAAGAAAAGCAGGAAAAGGUAUCAAAUGUGGGGAAGAAAAAAAAUUAGUUUUCCCCAGUAUUUUUAAUGGUGUAUCUUCCCCUUCAUAUUUCUUGGGACAUAAUAAAAUUAAGAAUAUACUUCAAAAAGGGCAGAAGGAAUGAUCACAAUAAUUGGGGUGGGAUUUUUUUUCUCAACUUUAGUAAUAAAAGUUAAAGAACUCUCAAAAAUAGACUAGAUAUUGGGCCUACAAAAGUAAUUCAUCUGUAUGCAAAGCUUACCAAGAAUUUUUCCUUUUGUAAAAUGUAAAGGAUGAGCUGACAUUACUAGUAAGCUAUUUUUACCCUACAAAACCAGACUACAAUAAUAAAAUCACCAAUUUACAGCUAACACAAUAAUCUAGAUGUACAUUACUGUACACAAGCUCUAUAUUACACAUGAACAUCUUACAUGAAAUAGAUAAGAAACAUACUGAUAUUGUCUCAACAUUGGCCAAUAUGUUUGUUUUUCUAAUGGAGGUGUAUUUUCUAUUCACAUUCAGUGUAGUUCCAAUAGCAAGGGUUAGCUUUGCUUACUUAAGAAACGUAGAAAGUUUGUGUGAGGUAGUUCAAGAAAACCUAGCUUAAAUUUUGAACUGCAGAAGAGAAACACAAUGUGAUCUGAUUCGUAACACAUUUCUCUAAUGUAGACAUACAAAGAGAAGGGAGUGAGAGAGACCACGUAAAAUACCACUUUUAUCCAGUGCCCUUAACUAAGAAUAAAUUAAAUUAAUUGAAAAUUUGGAUAGGCAGUACAGUCUUAUCACACUGCUUCAUUAAAAAUCUCUUUCUAAUCCUACUGAAAAAUACAAACAGGCUCUUCUUCAACUGCACCAAACCACUGACAGGAAAAUGACAGGAAAAUAAAAUGUAACAGCAUGGACAAGCUGCUGCCAACAGCAAAUAAAUCUAGAAACUGUAAUUCCCUCCCUUUAGCAACUUGAAGGAGUAAGACUGAGUACAAGCUGAACCUUCUCCCUCCCUUUUGCCCAUGAACUUUAUCAAGAAACAUUUGCUGUCCUACACUUUGGAUUACCGGCUGAGGAGGACCAUCCUCCUGUAGGAGUUUUUUGACAUUUUUUCUUCAUGCACUGCUGAGCUGAAUCAAUCAAUCUGUCCGUCUGUCCGUCCAUCCUCCUCCA